AUAGCGUAUAUUAAAGUUGUUGCAGUUAAAAAGCUCGUAGUUGAACUUCGAACCUGGUUGGGGGGUCUGCCUUCAUGGUAUGUACUGCUUGGCGGGGUUCUACCUCUUGGUGAGCCAGCAUGUCCUUUACUGGGUGUGUUGGGGAACCAGGACUUUUACCUUGAGAAAAUUAGAGUGUUCAAAGCAGGCCUUUGCCCGAAUACAUUAGCAUGGCAUAAUAAAAUAGGACGUGCGGUUCUAUUUUGUUGGUUUCUAGAGUCGCCGUAAUGAUUAAUAGGGAUAGUUGGGGGCAUUUGUAUUCCGUUGCUAGAGGUGAAAUUCUUGGAUUUACGGAAGACAAACUUCUG
rnacentral:rRNA from 1 species